GGACCAUCAUGUCGGUCGUGCCAUUGGUACGUACUAGUAUUAUUGGUUUCUCCCUUCUGAUGAAUCAUGAUGUCAUUAAUUUGAUGUCAUGGGGAAUCAGGACUGUUACUUUGAAAAAAUUAGAGUGUUUAAAGCAAGCUAACGCUUGAAUACAUUAGCAUGGAAUAAUGAAAUAGGACGUUUGACCCUAUUUUGUUGGUUUCUAGGAUCGACGUA
rnacentral:rRNA from 1 species